rnacentral:rRNA from 1 species
AUACGUAGGGUGCGAGCGUUGUCCGGAAUUACUGGGCGUAAAGAGCUCGUAGGUAGUUUGUCGCGUCGUCUGUGAAAUUCCGGGGCUUAACUCCGGGCGUGCAGGCGAUACGGGCGUAACUUGAGUACUGUAGGGGAGACUGGAAUUCCUGGUGUAGCGGUGAAAUGCGCAGAUAUCAGGAGGAACACCGGUGGCGAAGGCGGGUCCCUGGGCAGUAACUGACGCCGAGGAGCGAAAGCGUGGGUAGCAAACAGGAUUAGAUACCCUGGUAGUCCAUGCCGUAAACGGUGGGCGCUAGGUGUAGGGGUCUUCCACGACUUCUGUGCCGUAGCUAACGCAUUAAGCGCCCCGCCUGGGGAGUACGGCCGCAAGGCUAAAACUCAAAGGAAUUGACGGGG